CCUACGGGUGGCAGCAGUGGGGAAUAUUGGACAAUGGGGGAAACCCUUAUCCAGCGACGCCGCGUGAGGGAAGAAGGUUUUCGGAUUGUAAACCUCUGUCAGUGGGGACGAUGAUGACGGUACCCACUGAGGAAGCCACCGCUAACUACGUGCCAGCAGCCGCGGUAAUACGUAGGUGGCAAGCGUUGUCCGGAAUGACUGGGUGUAGAGGGAGCGUAGGAGGGAUGGCAAGUCAGAAGUGAAAAUUAUGGGCUCAACUCAUACCCUGCUUUUGAAACUGCUUUUCUUGAGGGAAGGAGAGGCAAGCGGAAUUCCUAGUGUAGCGGUGAAAUGCGUAGAUAUUAGGAGGAACACCAGUGGCGAAGGCGGAUUGCUGGGCUUUUACUGACGCUGAGGCUCGAAAGCGUGGGGAGCAAACAGGAUUAGAUACCCCUGUAGUC
rnacentral:rRNA from 1 species